CCUACGGGAGGCAGCAGUAGGGAAUAUUGGGCAAUGGGCGAAAGCCUGACCCAGCCACGCCGCGUGCAGGAAGACGGCCCUCUGGGUUGUAAACUGCUUUUAACUGGGAAGAAAGCAGCCCUUGCGAGGGAAUUUGACGGUACCAGUUGAAUAAGCCACGGCUAACUACGUGCCAGCAGCCGCGGUAAUACGUAGGUGGCAAGCGUUAUCCGGAUUUAUUGGGUUUAAAGGGAGCGUAGGCGGCUUAAUAAGUCAGUGGUUAAAGGUAGCAGCUUAACUGUUUUACAUGCCACUGAUACUGUUGAGCUUGAGUUGACAGAAGGCAGAUAGAAUUUCUGGUGUAGCGGUGAAAUGCUUAGAUACCAGAAGGAAUACCGAUUGCGAAGGCAGUCUGCUGCAGUCACACUGACGCUGAGGCUCGAAGGUGCGGGGAUCAAACAGGAUUAGAUACCCUGGUAGUCCGCACAGUAAACGAUGAUUACUAGAUGUUGGCGAGAGCCAGUGUCGAACGGAAACCGGAAGUAAGUAAGUACCGACCGUACGGGGAGGUACGGCCGGCCGGUAACCGGUACGGUUAAACGUUAAAGUUAAGUUAAGUUAGUACGGCGUUGAGACGUUAGCCGACGGACGACGACGAGGGAGGAGG
rnacentral:rRNA from 1 species